rnacentral:rRNA from 1 species
GACGAACGCUGGCGGCGUGCCUAAUACAUGCAAGUUGAGCGCUGAAGGUUGGUACUUGUACCAACUGGAUGAGCAGCGAACGGGUGAGUAACGCGUGGGGAAUCUGCCUUUGAGCGGGGGACAACAUUUGGAAACGAAUGCUAAUACCGCAUAAAAACUUUAAACACAAGUUUUAAGUUUGAAAGAUGCAAUUGCAUCACUCAAAGAUGAUCCCGCGUUGUAUUAGCUAGUUGGUGAGGUAAAGGCUCACCAAGGCGAUGAUACAUAGCCGACCUGAGAGGGUGAUCGGCCACAUUGGGACUGAGACACGGCCCAAACUCCUACGGGAGGCAGCAGUAGGGAAUCUUCGGCAAUGGACGAAAGUCUGACCGAGCAACGCCGCGUGAGUGAAGAAGGUUUUCGGAUCGUAAAACUCUGUUGGUAGAGAAGAACGUUGGUGAGAGUGGAAAGCUCAUCAAGUGACGGUAACUACCCAGAAAGGGACGGCUACUACGUG